AUAUAGUCUAACCUGCCCACUGAAAUUUAAAGGGCUGCGGUAAUAUGACCGUGCGAAGGUAGCAUAAUCAAUAGUCUUUUAAUUGAAGGCUGGAAUGAAUGGUUGAACAAAAAGUAGACUGUCUUUUUUGAAGUAAUUGAAUUUUACUUUUAAGUGAAAAGGCUUAAAUGAGUUAAGGGGACGAUAAGACCCUAUAAAACUUUACAUGCAUAAUGUUUAUUUAAAAAUAAAUGUAUAAAGAAAGUAUCAGUAAGUUUGUUUUGUUGGGGCGAUAAUUAUAAAAUUAGUAACUGUAAUUUUAAUAAAAUAUUUAUAAAUAGUAUAAUUGAUCCUUUAUUAGAGAUUAUAAGAUAAAGUUACUUUAGGGAUAACAGCGUUAUUUUUUCUGAGAGUUCUUAUCGAUGAAGAUAGUUGCGACCUCGAUGUUGAAUUAAGAUUUUACUAAGGUGUAGAAGUUUUAGUGGUGGGUCUGUUCGACCUU
rnacentral:rRNA from 1 species